rnacentral:misc_RNA from 1 species
UGACUGGCAACGGAAGCUCA